UGGGGAAUAUUGGACAAUGGGCGCGAGCCUGAUCCAGCCAUGCCGCGUGAGUGAUGAAGGCCCUAGGGUUGUAAAGCUCUUUCACCGGUGAAGAUAAUGACGGUAACCGGAGAAAAAGCGCCGGCUAACUACGUGCCAGCAGCCGCGGUAAUACGUAGGGCGCAAGCGUUAUCCGGAAUUAUUGGGCGUAAAGAGCUCGUAGGCGGUUUGUCGCGUCUGCUGUGAAAACCCGAGGCUCAACCUCGGGCCUGCAGUGGGUACGGGCAGACUAGAGUGCGGUAGGGGAGAUUGGAACUCCUGGUGUAGCGGUGGAAUGCGCAGAUAUCAGGAAGAACACCGAUGGCGAAGGCAGAUCUCUGGGCCGUAACUGACGCUGAGGAGCGAAACGGGUGGGGAGCAAACAGGCUUAGAUACCCUGGUAGUCCACGCCGUAAACGAUGAAUGCUAGACGUCGGGGUGCAUGCACUUCGGUGUCGCCGCUAACGCAUUAAGCAUUCCGCCUGGGGAGUACGGCCGCAAGGUUAAAACGUU
rnacentral:rRNA from 1 species